UAUUUUAAUAAUGAUUAUAUAAUUUUUCUUAUAUAUAAAUGUAUAUUUGUGUAAAUAAUAUACAAGAUAAAUACUUGCACCAUAGUUACAAUAACUGCAUUCAAGUGAUACAUUUUUAAUCGAAUGAAAUUAUUGGCAGAUAAAAGAUGAUCGUAACGUGUUUAUAUUUUUGUCAAAUAGAGUUUCUCUAAAACCUCGAUUAAAAGACAUUGAAAAUUGUUCGCCGCUAUUUGAUAUCAACACUGAAUCUUCGCCAAAAAAACAGAAACGAAAAUCUACACGAUAAAUACUUUUUCUUUUUUUCUUUUUUCUUAAAUAUUAACGAUCAAGAGAUCAAAGAAGUUGCGCGAAGAACGGUGUUGUUACGAAGGUAAAAGAAUGAAGACGCGACGACUGUAUGGACUCAAUCAAUUACAUUCUCCAAAAAAUUCCACAACAUCCGUUUUCCUUCACGGAUCUGAUAUUCUUUCUGGAAAAAAUAAUAAAAAAUUGUUUGAUAUCAAACGCCGACGUUUGCAACGUGGAAAACUUCAGAAGAAUAAUGGGGAGCACGGAGACGUUCUAUUUAUAAAAAGGGAUGCAUUUGCAUCUUUAGAAUCUUUAUUUGAUAUAAAAAAACCAUUAUAUCUAUCGAAAUUAAAUUUAGUUCAGAUUCAGCAUUAUAAAGAACAUAUCGUCUUUGAAAGGCAUAAUCUUAAGGGCGGGAAACAUUUGGCGGGAGAUUCGAUUGUAAAAACUACUGAAUUAUAUCCGAAAGUAUUCCCAAAUAUUUCAAAACAGAAAAUCGACGAAGAAAAUAGUUUUCCGUAUAAUACGUUAGAAAAAAGUGAAGAGCCAAACGUAAAUCCAAUAAAAUUAAUAAAUCAUUUAAACGAGAAGGAUUCAUUGAAUAAUACUGUCGCGCAGGAAAAUCAGAUAAACAAAAAAAUGGCGGACGAAGAAUUGCAAGAAGAAGAGAAGAACCUUGAAGAAACGUUAGAUGACACGGAGGAAGAAACAUUGAAAGAGAUGGAUGACCAAUUUGUUCCACCUCCUUAUCCAAUACCAUCCGGUGCUGGCGAAGGUAUACCCGUCAAAGUUGGUAGACGCCGAGAAUCCAUGUUAAGUUCUUCACCCUUAACGGAAGAAUCUGUGAUGGAAGAGUUAAAAAUAGCCGAUGAAAGAUGUAAUAUAGUCGCAGGCGAGAUAAAAAAAUUAAAAGAAGAAAUGAUUGAGCUUACCAAUAAAAAAGAAUUGACAGAUGAUGAUACAAUACUGAUUCAAAAGAAGCAAGAAGAUUUAAUGUUGAAAUUAGCUGAGUUUGAACAAAUGACACGGAAAUUACAGAGAUUAUUAGGAUUAACUGAUCCUACUAGCGAAACAUUUUCAAGAAUGUUCGGUUUGUUACCUUAUCCUCAUACAAGAUCAAUAGAGGGUGCUGGAGAAGAGAUUGAAAUUUUACCGGCUGAAAAAGUUGAUGAUAUUAAAGGAAAACUUAAGCCGCCAAUAUCGCCGGUAACAGAUGAUCAUUUUGAUUUACCUCAACCGGAGUAUCAAGAAGAUAAGCUUCCAAGAGUAAUCGUUUGCGGUUACACAGAAGACGAAAUGCCAAAAAUCGUGAUAGCUGAUGGUGAUCGAGGAGGAAAGAAAGAAUGUUUGCAAAAUUUAACAGGAAAAUUGACCGAGUCAUUGACAAUGCAAGAGAAAUUAGUUAAAGAGAAUGCACAACUUGAGGGUGGAAAAUACAAAUUGGAAGAAGCACUAUUGGAGAAAGAUACAGCUGUGGAGUGUCUUCAACGGAAGGUAUGCGGUUUGCAAGCUGAAAUACGUUUAAUAAUGAAGGAGAAUACGGAAUUAAAUCGUCGAUUGGCUUGUUUAAAUCAACGUGUCACUACUUCUACUUGCUGUUACACAUGUCCAGAACGUAGAUCAUCUUGUUCACCGCCAGUGGUCUCACCUUUGCCAGCAUAUUCCCAAGUAACUUCCUCGCUUCAAGAUCACGGUUGUUGCCAGUGCAAAUAUUGUGUCCCAUGCGACAGUCCCGUUCAGUCACCUACCUCUGUAUGCGUAAACCCAUAUAGCAAUCAAACUUCAAACGAUUGUGGCUCAUCGAGAUUAGCAGGUGGUGCAUCGAGAACAGGCAAUUGUAUAUUGAGUAGAAGUUCAUCGCAAAUCGAAGAGAUGUGUUUCCGUAGUCCUACAGUUUGUACAAAACCAUGUCCUGAGCCGACACCAAGAGGUGUUUGCCCGGCUGAAUUAGAAAAUAAAUUUGCUAUUUAUGGGAACAAUACCAAACAAUUGGCUCAACAAUUAGGUAGUAUGGAGUGUGAAGUACGAAAUAUGCAGAUAGAACUAGCAAAUGUUCAACGAGAACGUCAACAACUCGAGCAACAACGCAAGUUGCUUAAAUGUUCCGGACCCUGUGCACCAUGUGCUUGUUGUCCUGCACCACCACCUUGCGGUGGUCUUUCACAAGGCCUUCAAUCUUCGAUGAUAUCAAAUUAUAUUCCAAAUAAUCAAUUACCUCCCACGAUUCCACCAUCUGGAAAUGGAACGAUUUCACCCAUACCUAUUCCAAAGGCGCAGAUCAGUCAACAAUCCACGUCUGCUAUGUGUACUGGGCCCUGUAUAAUGGCACCUAUGGGUGCAAGCACUUGUCCUCAACAACAAUUACGUGAUUUGCGAGAACAAUACGCACGUCUUCAAGAUGAUUAUAAAAAUAAAUUAUGCGAGGUAUCUUGUUUACGUACUGAUACGGAAAAAUUGAAACAAGAAGUUCGAGACUCAAGGGAUGAAAAGGAGAGGAUGGAAAUAAAAUUGAUAGAUACGCAAGAACGUUUGAAAUCUUUAGAAGCCGAAAGAGAGAAAUUCGAAGGAAAAAAAGAGCAAAUGGUAGAGCAAGAGCAAGCCUUAUUAAUGGCCAAAGAACGUUUUAGAAAAGCGCAGGACGAAUUGGAAGAACUUCGAUCAUUAAUUCAAGAUCAAGCUGCACAAUUAGAGGAUUAUCGUAAUAAAUAUUUACAAGCUCAGCAACAGGUGGAAGAACAACGCCGGCAACUCGAUCUCAUGGAAAUGGAUAAUGCUCGAAUGAAUGAAAAUGUAACGUUAGAAAUUGGAAGAGUUAAAAAUCAAUUCCAAGAAAAACUCGCUGAACUCGCUCCAUUGCCGGAUAUCUUGAAACAAACUCAAAUGAAACUUCAAGAAGCUCAACAAAUGAGAUUAGUAGCCGAGCGUAAUUGCGAAGAUCUUUCACGUGAACUUUUAGGAUGUAAGGAUAAGAUUCAAACGUUACAAAGUCAAUUGGAUGUAUUACGUAACGAGCAUCAAGCAUUACAAGACGAAAGAGGACAUGGUACGGGACGAUUCGAUGAGUUAGAAAAGAAAAAUGCUGAAUUAAGACACGACAAUGAACGUAUGAAAAAUACACUUGCUCGAUUCGAAGAACACGAGGCACAAUUGAAAAAACGCAUGGACGAAAAGAUGCAUGAAAUUACUCAAUUAACUGCAAUGCUCGAACAAGUGAGAGAAGACAGUGCAAGACAGGUAGCACGUACUAAAGAAAGAUGCGAAACAGUUAGACGGACAAUGCAAGGUCAAAUAGCUGAAAUGGAAAGACAAUUGGCUCAGUGUAGAGCAACAGCUAGAGCAGCACAGAAGGAUAGAGACGAGAUUAGGCAAAAGAUGCAGAGUCAGAUAAAUAAUCUAAAUGAAGCUUUUGAACAAGCUCAAGGUCGUAUCAGAUCAUUACAAGGACAUGUGAAUUAUCUAAAAACUUCGUACAGUAAUAUUUUUAAAGGACAAGGAGAGAGUCCGGUUGGUUUACCAGGGGAUGGUGCGCUUGGUACUGGAUACGAUUCUUGCGACUGCAAUUAUUAAAAUUAACUUAUUAUAUAUUUUUAGCAUUUUUACAUGCUCUUUAAUACUUUUAACAGUAUUUAUUAACAGAGCUUACAUUUUACUACUUUAUUAUGAGAUAUAAAUUUUUUUUUUAAAUUAUCGUGGGACUCAUUCGUAUUCGAAAGAUCCGUCAAAUUUUGAAGAAAUUUAAGGUAACAGGUUUAUCACUUAAAGGAUUGGUGGUAGUAAUGGAUUUGUGAAAAAAGAAAAAAAAAAAAAAGAAAAAAGAAAAAAAAAAAAGAAAGCAUUUUAUAAGUCGGUUUUCGAACCAUGUAUAUUUAUUCAAUAAAUCGACAAUGCAUUUUCUUUUUAUUAUCGAUGAAGUUAGACGAUGGAGGGGGAAAAAAAAGAAUGGUCAUAUAUAAAAUAAGACGAAUCAUGAAAUAAGAAAGAAAAAAUAUUAUGUACAAAGGAAAGGGCACGUAUAUCUAAUGUUGUUUAAACUGUAUCAGUUCAUUUCAACAGAAUGAAGCAUAUUGAGUAAAUUUAGUAUAGCAUCGGAACGCGAACGUACUCGUUCCAUUUCCAUACGAAAUUCUUCCAGUUGAGAUUCGAUACGUCGUGUAUACGCGUGACAACAUCUGCAGAUUGCUGCAAAUUUGAACAAGCAGCAUCUGGCGAGUUACAAGAUGUGACGUUGUUUAAUGGUGAGGAAUUAACCGAAUUUGAUGCCUCUUUUCCAUUGGAACAUCUUUUACUUGAACUUGUACUCCCAUUGCGAUGAUCUCCACAACUUUUUAAAAGAUCCAUUAAAAUUCCUCUCACUUUCUUACCGCUGGAUCUUCUUUGUCUAAUCUGAGUAAUGUGUUUCGCAGGAGCUUCUUUCUGGGAUUAACAGGUCAUCGUUGUUACCAAUUGGACUAUGGUUA